UGCCACAGCCAUAUCACCCUGCAGCCCAAGACCGGUUACUCACUGAAGCUAAGCAGGGCUGAGCCUGGUCAGUACCUGGAUAGGAGCCCACUAGGGAGCACUAGGUUGCUGUUGGAA
rnacentral:rRNA from 1 species